rnacentral:rRNA from 1 species
UACGAAGGGGGCAAGCGUUACUCGGAAUUACUGGGCGUAAAGGGUGCGUAGGUGGUUUUUUAAGUCCGUUGUGAAAUCCCUGGGCUCAACCUGGGAAUGGCAGUGGAUACUGGAAAGCUAGAGUGCGGUAGAGGGUAGUGGAAUUCCCGGUGUAGCAGUGAAAUGCGUAGAGAUCGGGAGGAACACCAGUGGCGAAGGCGGCUACCUGGACCAGCACUGACACUGAGGCACGAAAGCGUGGGGAGCAAACAGG